CCUACGGGGGGCUGCAGUGGGGAAUAUUGGACAAUGGGCGCAAGCCUGAUCCAGCAAUACCGCGUGUGUGAAGAAGGCCUGAGGGUUGUAAAGCACUUUUAAUCGGGAGGAAUAGCGGUCGGUUAAUACCCGGUCGUCUGACAUUACCGAUAGACAAAGCACCGGCUAACUCCGUGCCAGCAGCCGCGGUAAUACGGAGGGUGCAAGCGUUACGCGGAAUGACCGUACGUGAUGCGUGCAGACAGAGGUGAAAGCCCCGGGCUUAACCUGGGAACGGCAUUUGAAACUGAUCGACUAGAGUUGGGUAGAGGGGAGUGGAAUUUCAGGUGUAGCGGUGAAAUGCGUAGAUAUCUGAAGGAACACCAGUGGCGAAGGCGGCUCCCUGGACCCAAACUGACGCUGAGGCACGAAAGCGUGGGUAGCAAACAGGAUUAGAUACCCUAGUAGUC
rnacentral:rRNA from 1 species